AAAUCAGAAGCUCCCUCCCUCAUCUCUCUAAACACCACACGGCUCUCCCUCUUUUCACCUUAAUCCAUCAUUUCCUCACUCAUUUCCAACAUGCAAGCUACUAGAAUUCAUCCUUGGGACAAUAAGAUGUAAUAGAAAGCCUAGUCUCCUUCUUUCCUUCUCUUUUGGCCGAACCAUUAUCCCCUAUGAGGUGUUUGGGAUGUGAUUCUUCAAGCUUGAAGUGAUAGCAUGUUGACUGUACAUGUUUGGAUUGUUGGGCGUAAGCUUGAAGAUGAGAGCUUGAGUUGGUAUAAGCUAAAAGAUGAAUUGCAAGCUGUUUGCACGUGUUGUGUGAUCUGUUAUGUGGGCCGUACCUGUUACUCUGUUGAUCAGAAUUAAGUAACUAUUGGAUAUUUAGAUUCUACGUUUAAUUCCCUUCAAUUCGGAUAUAAAUUUCGUAUGAUUCGGAUUAGAAACGGAUUCGGAAAGCUUGUUCGAUGCCAUUGUUUUCAUGUUAGUGUGAAGGAUGCUUGUACGGAUUAUGGCGAGGUUUGAUUACUUGAGCUUGUGGUUAAGAAGUUGUCAGAAAUCAAUAAGGUGAGUUCUUCGAUAGUUUAACCUACCUUUGGGUUGUGUAAUCUUAGCAAGAAAACAUGAAUUUAGUUAAGUUUAGUUUAAUAAAAUCUUUAGUACCCCAUGUCCAAUCUCGUUGAUUAUGUGUUAAUAUUGCCAUGCAAAUGAUUCUUGAUGUUUAAAUAUGUUGCUCGAAGGUAUUGUGCAUUGCAGGAACAAGUUUUGAGGUGUUUGGGGUGAAAAUUCGAGUGCUGCACUUUAGGACCCGAAGAAAUUCGCUAUUAACGAAAUAUUUCGCUAAUAGGCUUGUGAUGUCAUCCAAUUUUGCCAAAUGGCUUGUGGACUCUUGUGGGGGGUGGGGGGUCUGUGAUGUCGUCCGAUACUUUUUAUCGCAAUGUUUUCCAACUAUAAAACCCCUAAACAUAAUUGAAGCAACGCACAUUACAACGAACGAUUCUUGAAAUGAAAAUCAUGGCAAAAUUAGCAUAUAUUUCAAGAAUGGCCAAGAGAGUUUAAGCAUGUUAUUCAUGUUAUUCGGGUAACAAUGAACUAAGAGUGGGGAUAAACAUAGAGCCUCGACUAGAUUGUCGAGAACUAGAAUGCUAGCAAGAGUACUAAAGAUGUGUUUGGAAUAGCGGUGGGGGGAGAAAAAAAGCCCGUCUAGCUUAAAGCUGAGAUUUUCAGCUUCACAAAAUUCACGGUAACACUACAUUGGGAAGCGAGAAUCCUACUCCAAACGCCAAGCCAAACAUGCUAUAAGUAUGUUAAGACGUGAAGUGAUUAAUGUAGUCUCUUCACACGUGAACAAGAAUGAUCAAGUAAGUAUUUUACCGCUAAUCGAGUAGAUCACGGACCCGUGGUAAAUAAGCAAGCAUGUUUAGGUUAAACCUUUUUAUGUAUGUAUAAGAUCAAAACUUUAAGCAAGAUGUAGGUGUCGUGUCUCUUGCUAUCCACGCUAGGGGGAUACAAGAGGUUCACACCAGGGGAACGGGAUAAGCUCCGCAAGGGGGCUCUGCAUGCACGACACUGAGGGAGUCCGAUGUACCUUAGCUAGGAAUUCAUCGGUCAUGUAUGAGAUUGUACUCGGGGUUACUCCAUCCGAUACACUCCGUAAAAUGAACUCAGUUAAUACUGUUUGUUCAACGCAGUCCGAUGUACCUUAGCUAGGAAUUCAUCGGUCAUGUAUGAGAUUGUACUCGGGGUUACUCCAUCCGAUACACUCCGUAAAAUGAACUCAGUUAAUACUGUUUGUUCAACGCAGUCCGAUGUACCUUAGCUAGGAAUUCAUCGGUCAUGUAUGAGAUAACCUCUAACAUAAUGAAUGACCAUGAUAUGAUAUGAUUACGAUUAUGAUAAGUUGUGUUAUGACAAUAAUAUGUACAAGCUCUUGUAGUAGAACAAGACUAUGAAGAUACACUAUCGACGGUCUUAGUAACUCCUCGAUCGUCCAGUUUAGGAACAUGUCAUGAAUAAGUUACGUUUAGAUCUUGAUGUGUUUAGCGUAUCUCGACAAAGCAGUCCUAGGUUCCCUUGACCGCCAUGACAUGUAGAAUGCAAGACAAGCCUUAUGACUUAUGAUACAAAGAACCUUAUGACGGCUCUAGUGUGCACGACCGUCAGGGUAAACAAGCUCCACACACGUAUAAUCAACCAUCACGUUGUAUUGUAGACACGUGGUGACCCUAGGUUUUCCCCGAGGUUACCUAUAGCCUAGGAUUAGGUAGAACUCACUAAGACAUUGUGUCUCAUCCCAAUCCUUAUUUGUUUCAGAUCAGCAGGUUGAUAUGGCAGGAUUUAGCAAGCUUGUAGCCAAAUGGAUAUUCAGCAAGUGCUCGUUCGUACCCGCUGCUGGAUGAUAUGGACUUUAAAGAUGUAUCUUUCUAUGUUUUGGACGAGUAGUAUUGUAUUGAUGACUGUACGACCGCGUAUUGUUGUAUAUAAUAUUCA
rnacentral:lncRNA from 1 species